rnacentral:rRNA from 1 species
AUGAACGCUGGCGGCGUGCCUAAUACAUGCAAGUCGCGCGAACAGACGAGGAGCUUGCUCCUCUGACGUUAGCGGCGGACGGGUGAGUAACACGUGGAUAACCUACCUAUAAGACUGGGAUAACUUCGGGAAACCGGAGCUAAUACCGGAUAAUAUAUUGAACCGCAUGGUUCAAUAGUGAAAGACGGUUUUGCUGUCACUUAUAGAUGGAUCCGCGCCGCAUUAGCUAGUUGGUAAGGUAACGGCUUACCAAGGCAACGAUGCGUAGCCGACCUGAGAGGGUGAUCGGCCACACUGGAACUGAGACACGGUCCAGACUCCUACGGGAGGCAGCAGUAGGGAAUCUUCCGCAAUGGGCGAAAGCCUGACGGAGCAACGCCGCGUGAGUGAUGAAGGUCUUCGGAUCGUAAAACUCUGUUAUUAGGGAAGAACAAAUGUGUAAGUAACUAUGCACGUCUUGACGGUACCUAAUCAGAAAGCCACGGCUAACUACGUGC